rnacentral:rRNA from 1 species
GGUCAGCGGCGGACGGGUGAGUAACACGUGGGUAACCUGCCUGUAAGACUGGGAUAACUCCGGGAAACCGGGGCUAAUACCGGAUGCUUGAUUGAACCGCAUGGUUCCAAUCAUAAAAGGUGGCUUUUAGCUACCACUUACAGAUGGACCCGCGGCGCAUUAGCUAGUUGGUGAGGUAACGGCGCACCAAGGCGACGAUGCGUAGCCGACCUGAGAGGGUGAUCGGCCACACUG